UCGAGCGGUAGAGAGAAGCUUGCUUCUUUUGAGAGCGGCGGACGGGUGAGUAAUGCCUAGGAAUCUGCCUGGUAGUGGGGGAUAACGUUCGGAAACGGACGCUAAUACCGCAUACGUCCUACGGGAGAAAGCAGGGGACCUUCGGGCCUUGCGCUAUCAGAUGAGCCUAGGUCGGAUUAGCUAGUUGGUGAGGUAAUGGCUCACCAAGGCUACGAUCCGUAACUGGUCUGAGAGGAUGAUCAGUCACACUGGAACUGAGACACGGUCCAGACUCCUACGGGAGGCAGCAGUGGGGAAUAUUGGACAAUGGGCGAAAGCCUGAUCCAGCCAUGCCGCGUGUGUGAAGAAGGUCUUCGGAUUGUAAAGCACUUUAAGUUGGGAGGAAGGGCAGUUACCUAAUACGUGAUUGUUUUGACGUUACCGACAGAAUAAGCACCGGCUAACUCUGUGCCAGCAGCCGCGGUAAU
rnacentral:rRNA from 1 species